rnacentral:tRNA from 1 species
AGAAAGUAACGCAAGAACUGCUAACUCAUGCCUCCGCGCUUACACUCGCGGCUUUCUU